rnacentral:rRNA from 1 species
CAAUAGCGUAUAUUUAAGUUGUUGCAGUUAGAAAGCUCGUAGUUGGAUUUCGGGUGGGACGCAGCGGUCUCGCAUUGCGUUUGUACUGCUGCAGCCCUCCUUCUUGCCGGGGGCGGCCUCUCGGACUUCACUGUCUGGGGGUCAGAAUCGGCGAUGUUACUUUGAGUAAAUUAGAGUGUUCAAAGCAAGCUUACGCUCUGAAUAUAAUAGCAUGGGAUAACACGACAGGACUCUGGCCUAUCGUGUUGGUCUAUAGGACCAGAGUAAUGAUUAAGAGGGACAGUCGGGGGCAUUCGUAUUCCGUUGUCAGAGGUGAAAUUCUUGGAUUUACGGAAGACGAACAUCUGCGAAAGCAUUUGCCAAGGAUGUUUUCAUUGA